GAUGAACGCUAGCGGCAGGCUUAACACAUGCAAGUCGAGGGGUAUAGUUCUUCGGAACUAGAGACCGGCGCACGGGUGCGUAACGCGUAUGCAAUCUACCUUUUACAGAGGGAUAGCCCAGAGAAAUUUGGAUUAAUACCUCAUAGUAUGUGAGAAUCGCAUGGUUUUCACAUUAAAGUCACAACGGCAAAAGAUGAGCAUGCGUCCCAUUAGUUAGUUGGUAAGGUAACGGCUUACCAAGACUACGAUGGGUAGGGGUCCUGAGAGGGAGAUCCCCCACACUGGUACUGAGACACGGACCAGACUCCUACGGGAGGCAGCAGUGAGGAAUAUUGGACAAUGGGCGCAAGCCUGAUCCAGCCAUGCCGCGUGCAGGAUGACGGUCCUAUGGAUUGUAAACUGCUUUGUACAGGAAGAAACACCUCUACGUGUAGAGACUUGACGGUACUGUAAGAAUAAGGAUCGGCUAACUCCGUGCCAGCAGCC
rnacentral:rRNA from 1 species